GGAAAGGCGGCCUCGGGGAGACCGAAUAGAGGGCAGAAGGGGAGGGAAGAGAAAAGAGAGGAAACAUCAGGGAUGGAGGAGGAACCAUCUUCCUCUCACCCCCUGCCACUCCUAGUCUGUUUUGUAAGCUGGUGUAUCUCAAGGGCCUGGAACAGCACCUGGCACAUCAUAGGCGCUCAGUAGGGAUGCCAUGAAAACCAGACAGAGAACACCGGAACGCUCUGGGAAAUGAAAACUACAAGGGUGGAAAUUUAAAAUCCAGUGAGAGGAAAUAAGAUGAGAGCAGGAGAGAAGGACCAAGAGAAAGACUUAGAGAAGCAGUCCAGAACGUCUAGCAUCCAACCAAAGAGUUCAAAUCAGAAAGACCAAAGGAAAAGAAAGGACUUCGGAAAAAACCACACGAGAAGAUUUCAUAGGACUGAGCUACAAGUCUCUUGAUGAAAAGGGGUCUCUUAUGAUGGGUGCAAAGACACCCAUGGAAGGUCUGACAUGAGAUUUCAGAGUAUUGGGGGAGGAGGGGAGAGAAGACCCUAACCACUUUCAGAUAGAAAGAAGCAGGUCACAUACUAAGGAUCAGGAGUCACCAUGGCAUCGGGCUUUUCAAUAGCAACCAGGGGUUCUAAGAGGCCGUGGAACAUUGUCUGCAGAAUUCCAACAGAAAAUCAUUUCAAAUCUAAAAUUCUAUAGCUGGCAAAAAUGGCAAAAACGACUGGCAGGUCAUUACUGGCAAAGAAUCGAAAAAGACAAGUCCCAGAGGAAGACGUACCACCAGCCAGUAAACAUCGGAGAUGUCCUGCUUCACUAGCGAUAAGGAAAAUGCUAAUCAAAACUACAACUGUCACAUUGACAACCAUUUAAGAGAUUGAAGGCAUUGGGCAUUGGCCAGGAUGUGGGUAGACACACUCAAAUACACUGAUGCUAAGACUCUGUGUUGGUGAAAACUUCUUCAAAGGUAAUCUGAAACUCUCAAACUUCCUGACAUGCACGUCUUUGACCCCGCCUUACUUUUCCAAGCAUCUUCCCACAGAAAUACCUAUUUGCACAAAAUAGUAAUAGAAAUGCCUUUUUGCACAAAGCUGGGCACAUCUUAAAGUUGGUAAUUGUGGCACUGAUUAGAGUAGGAAAAAAAAAAUCGAGAUUACCCAAACGUUUGCCAGCAGAGAUGUGGUUGGAUCAUAGUCAAGGACUAUUUUUCACAUGGAGGAAUAUUAUGUACAUAUUAAAAAGAAUGGCACUCCUCCAAAAGUUAAAAAUAGAAUUACCAUAGGGCCCAGCAAUUCCACUUUUGGCUGUAUACCCAAAAGAAUUGAAAGCAAAGAUGAAGAGAUAGAUAACCUGGUCACCCAUGUUUAUGGUGGCAUUAUUCACCAUAGCCAAAAGGUGAAGGCGACCCAAAGUCCACAAAGCCAAAAACUAUGGCACAUACAUACGAUACCAUUCAGCCUUUUUUUUUAAUGUUGAUUUUUAAUUUUUUUAUUUUUUGAGAGAGACAGUGUGAACAAGGGAGGGGCAGAGAGAGGGAGACACAGAAUCUGAAGCAGGCUCUAGGCUCCCAACUGUCAGCAUAGAGCCAAACGCGGGGCUCGAACUCGCAAACUGCGAGAUCAUGACCUGAGCCGGAGUCGGAUGUUUAACCGGCUGAGCCACCCAAGCGCCCCUCGUUCAGCCUUUAAAAUGAAGGAUGUUCUGACACAUGCUGCAACACUGAGGACAUUAUGCUAAGUGAAAUAAGCCUGACACAGAAAGACAAAUAGCAUAUGAUUCCGCUCAUAGGAGAUGCCUACUGUAGUCAAACUCAUAGAGACAGAAAAUAGAAUGGUGGUUGACAGGAAUAAGGAGUUUUUGUUUCAUGGGGACAGAAUUUCAGCUAGGGAAGAUGUGAAGGUUGUGUGGAUGGCCAGUGGUGAUGAUGUCACAACGCGAAUGUACUUAAUGCCACUGAACUGCACACUUAAAAAUGGUUAAGAAGAGGUUUGCCUGGCUGACUCGGUUGGAAAAGUGUGAGACUCUUGAUCUUGGGGUCGUGAGUUCAAGCCCUAUGUGGGGUACAGAGAUAAAUAAAUUUUA